UACGGAGGAUGCGAGCGUUAUCCGGAUUUAUUGGGUUUAAAGGGUGCGUAGGCGGGCAUUUAAGUCAGCGGUCAAAUCGUGGGGCUCAACCCCAUCCAGCCGUUGAAACUGGGGAUCUAGAGUGUGCGAGAGGUAUGCGGAAUGCGUGGUGUAGCGGUGAAAUGCAUAGAUAUAACUUAGAACUCCGAUAGCGAAGGCAGCUUACCAGACUGCGACUGACGCUGAAGCACGAGAGCGUGGGUAGCGAACAGG
rnacentral:rRNA from 1 species